GAUGAACGCUGGCGGCGUGCCUAAUACAUGCAAGUCGAGCGAACAGACGAGGAGCUUGUUCCUCUGACGUUAGCGGCGGACGGGUGAGUAACACGUGGAUAACCUACCUAUAAGACUGGGAUAACUUCGGGAAACCGGAGCUAAUACCGGAUAAUAUAUUGAACCGCAUGGUUCAAUAGUGAAAGACGGUUUUGCUGUCACUUAUAGAUGGAUCCGCGCCGCAUUAGCUAGUUGGUAAGGUAACGGCUUACCAAGGCAACGAUGCGUAGCCGACCUGAGAGGGUGAUCGGCCACACUGGAACUGAGACACGGUCCAGACUCCUACGGGAGGCAGCAGUAGGGAAUCUUCCGCAAUGGGCGAAAGCCUGACGGAGCAACGCCGCGUGAAUGAUGAAGGUCUUCGGAUCGUAAAACUCUGUUAUUAGGGAAGAACAAAUGUGUAAGUAACUAUGCACGUCUUGACGGUACCUAAUCAGAAAGCCACGGCUAACUACGUG
rnacentral:rRNA from 1 species